UACGUAGGGUGCGAGCGUUGUCCGGAAUUAUUGGGCGUAAAGGGCUCGUAGGCGGUUUGUCGCGUCGGGAGUGAAAACCCAGGGCUUAACCCUGGGCUGGCUUCCGAUACGGGCAGACUAGAGGUAUGCAGGGGAGAACGGAAUUCCUGGUGUAGCGGUGAAAUGCGCAGAUAUCAGGAGGAACACCGGUGGCGAAGGCGGGUCUCUGGGCGAUACUGACGCUGAGGAGCGAAAGU
rnacentral:rRNA from 1 species